UACCUGCAGCUCAAGUGGUGAUCAUUAUUAUUGGGCCUAAAACGUCCGUAGCCGGUUUAGUAAAUGCCUGGGUAAAUCGUGUAGCUUAACUAUACGACUUCCGGGUAGACUGCUAAACUUGAGACCGGGAGAAGCUAGAGGUACUCCUGGGGUAGAGGUGAAAUUCUGUAAUCCUAGGGGGACCACCAGUGGCGAAGGCGUCUAGCUAGAACGGGUCUGACGGUGAGGGACGAAGCCCUGGGGCACAAACCGGAUUAGAUACCCGGGUAGUCCAGGGUGUAAACGCUGCUUGCUUGAUGUUAGUUGGGCUCCGAGCCCAACUAGUGUCGGAGAGAAGUUGUUAAGCAAGCUGCCUGGGAAGUACGGUCGCAAGGCUGAAACUUAAAGGAAUUGGCGGGGGAGCACAGCAACAGGUGGAGCGUGCGGUUU
rnacentral:rRNA from 1 species